GGUAAGAGUCCACUGCAUUUUAUCUUUUCGUUUGUCUCUUCUGCUUGUUGAACACUGACUUUCACAGCGUCUUGUUCUGUUAUUCAAACCUGGCUUUAUAACUAGGUCUGCAAAGGAUUGUUUCCCAGGCGAUUCCCGUAUGAAACUGAUUUCAUCCAAUAGAGACCGGAAACCUUCUAGUUAAUAUACACACAGCUAGAUGUGCCCAGGUAACUCAACUCCAGCAAAUAAGAUGAGAAUUGAACUGGCAGAUGAAAAUGCUGAGCCAUCCUCCAAGAAAGGCAGCUGGCUUUUCCUUCCUGUUUCCUUCCUUUCUGAUGGAGCUGAAGCAUGCAACUUGGACCACAAGUUACUCACUGAGGAUAAGACAAUGAGCCAGAGCUCACCAUGCUGGCCUUGGGCAGUGUAAUCCUGAGGGUCUCACCUGGCAGAGAAAAGUGUCGCUCCUGCUUUAUCCACUGUCGUUUUGUCCCUAAUACAGCAAUCUGAAAACCUAAAUCUCUAACAGUUUGCCCAUUCUGUACUCUUCUCAUGAACCGAUGCCGUGGUCCACUGACACGGAAAACCAGCCAAGAAGAGGAAACCAGAGCAUUUAGGAAACAGAAAAUUUAAUCUGGGCAGAGGCAAUGAAAGAAUGCAUGGAUUUAGUUUAACUAUAGGAAACAAAUUCUAAGUAGCUAGUAGUUCCAAUGAGAGUUUUUGGUCUCAUCAAAUGAGAGGCCCAAAGACAGAUGUUCACGUCUGGUAACAGCUGCUUCAUUAUGUCCUCGGGGAUGCACUACUUUUCAACUUUUUAAUUCUAUCAUCUCUCUGGUAUGUUUUUACAUUUUAGAUUUGUAAGAUGAUUCCUGGAAUUUCAACCAAUGCUACCAUGUUUUAACAACAGUUGAGAGUAAAUUUGAUGACAAAAUGAUAUAAAAUCCAAUUAAUUCAGCCUUCAGUUUAAGAAACUUUCGAGAAGCUCCAUUCAACAUCCAUUUUAUCACACUGGCCUUAAUCUAAUCACAUGACUAAACUUAUUGGCAAAGAAACCUAGAAAAUGUAGUUUGUUACAAUAGUAAAAUUAUGUAUGAUUAAUGAGGAAAAAAAUUAACUAUUGCAACAAGAAAUGGUUGUUUCUAGUCUAGAUGUCUACCAAUGGGUGGAUGGAUAAUGAAAAUGUGGUACAUUUACACAAGGACUAUUAUUCAGUUGUUAAAAAGCAUGAAACUAUGAAGUUCACAGGUGAAUAGAUAGAGCUAGAAAAAAGCAUCCUGAGUGAGGCAACUCAGACCCAAAAUGGCAAAUAGUGUAUGUUUUCUUUUAUACAUGGAUGUUAGCUUUUAAGCAUUUAAUUGGUAUGUUAAAAUCCACAUAAUAGAAGGGGUUAGGUAUAGAAUAAAGGACUGGGGGCAGGGAAGAUUUCCUAAGGAAGAGGAACUAGAAUAUAUGUAGUUAUGGAGAGACUGGA